UACAGAGGUCCCAAGCGUUGUUCGGAUUCAUUGGGCGUAAAGGGUGCGUAGGUGGCGCGCUAAGUCAGGUGUGAAAUUUCGGAGCUUAACUCCGAAACUGCAUUUGAUACUGGCGUGCUUGAGGACUGGGAGAGGAGACUGGAAUUUACGGUGUAAGCAGUGAAAUGCGUAGAGAUCGUGAAGGAAGACCAGUGGCGAAGGCGGGUCUCUGGACAGUUCCUGACACUGAGGCACGAAAGGCCAGGGGAGGCAAACGGG
rnacentral:rRNA from 1 species